rnacentral:rRNA from 1 species
UACGAAGGGGGCUAGCGUUGCUCGGAAUCACUGGGCGUAAAGCGCACGUAGGCGGCUUUCUAAGUCAGGGGUGAAAUCCUGGAGCUCAACUCCAGAACUGCCUUUGAUACUGGAGUGCUUGAGUCCGGGAGAGGUGAGUGGAACUCCGAGUGUAGAGGUGAAAUUCGUAGAUAUUCGGAAGAACACCAGUGGCGAAGGCGGCUCACUGGCCCGGUACUGACGCUGAGGUGCGAAAGCAUGGGGAGCGAACAGG